CCUACGGGUGGCAGCAGGGAGGAAUAUUGGUCAAUGGGCGCGAGCCUGAACCAGCCAAGUAGCGUGAAGGAUGACUGCCCUACGGGUUGUAAACUUCUUUUAUAAAGGAAUAAAGUGAGGCACGUGUGCCUUUUUGUAUGUACCUUAUGAAUAAGGAUCGGCUAACUCCGUGCCAGCAGCCGCGGUAAUACGGAGGAUCCGAGCGUUAUCCGGAUUUAUUGGGUUUAAAGGGAGCGUAGAUGGGUUGUUAAGUCAGUUGUGAAAGUUUGCGGCUCAACCGUAAAAUUGCAAUUGAUACUGGCGGUCUUGAGUGCAGUUGAGGUAGGCGGAAUUCGUGGUGUAGCGGUGAAAUGCUUAGAUAUCACGAAGAACUCCGAUUGCGAAGGCAGCUUACUGAACUGCAACUGACGUUGAUGCUCGAAAGUGUGGGUAUCAAACAGGAUUAGAUACCCCAGUAGUC
rnacentral:rRNA from 1 species